rnacentral:rRNA from 1 species
UGUUUGAUGUUCUAACGUGGACCCGUGAUCCGGGUUGCGGACAGUGUCUGGUGGGUAGUUUGACUGGGGCGGUCUCCUCCUAAAGAGUAACGGAGGAGCACGAAGGUUGGCUAAUCCUGGUCGGACAUCAGGAGGUUAGUGCAAUGGCAUAAGCCAGCUUGACUGCGAGCGUGACGGCGCGAGCAGGUGCGAAAGCAGGUCAUAGUGAUCCGGUGGUUCUGAAUGGAAGGGCCAUCGCUCAACGGAUAAAAGGUACUCCGGGGAUAACAGGCUGAUACCGCCCAAGAGUUCAUAUCGACGGCGGUGUUUGGCACCUCGAUGUCGGCUCAUCACAUCCUGGGGCUGAAGUAGGUCCCAAGGGUAUGGCUGUUCGCCAUUUAAAGUGGUACGCGAGCUGGGUUUAGAACGUCGUGAGACAGUUCGGUCCCUAUCUGCCGUGGGCGCUGGAGAACUGAGGGGGGCUGCUCCUAGUACGAGAGGACCGGAGUGGACGCAUCACUGGUGUUCGGGUUGUCAUGCCAAUGGCACUGCCCGGUAGCUAAAUGCGGAAGAGAUAAGUGCUGAAAGCAUCUAAGCACGAAACUUGCCCCGAGAUGAGUUCUCCCUGAGACUUUAGGUCUCCUGAAGGAACGUUGAAGACGACGAC